UACCAUUUCGGAAAUCCCAAAGAGAGCUCUCCGAUGAAAGAGGAAGGAAAAUGGAAUUCUUCUUUUGUUUUUUUUUCUACACCAAAUUUUGACCUUAAUGUACUUUUUCGAGCCUUUUCGUGAUCUUUGCUAUAUUACGGGGCGAAAAUUAUAUGUUCGGACAUUGUUUUCGGAUAUUUUGUAUCUAUCAAAGCUCUUAUAAACAAGAUAGGGUAUUCCUACAUAGCUAGUGGGAUCCACGACAAAUGGAUCAUAAAGUCUUCAAAAAAGAAUAGAUACGAUUGCAUUCCAUGUAGUAACAU
rnacentral:sRNA from 1 species